rnacentral:rRNA from 1 species
GACGAACGCUGGCGGCGUGCUUAACACAUGCAAGUCGAACGGAAAGGCCCUGCUUUUGUGGGGUGCUCGAGUGGCGAACGGGUGAGUAACACGUGAGUAACCUGCCCUUGACUUUGGGAUAACUUCAGGAAACUGGGGCUAAUACCGGAUAGGAGCUCCUGCUGCAUGGUGGGGUUGGAAAGUUUCGGCGGUUGGGGAUGGACUCGCGGCUUAUCAGCUUGUUGGCGGGGUAGUGGCUUACCAAGGCUUUGACGGGUAGCCGGCCUGAGAGGGUGACCGGCCACAUUGGGACUGAGAUACGGCCCAGACUCCUACGGGAGGCAGCAGUGGGGAAUAUUGCACAAUGGGCGGAAGCCUGAUGCAGCAACGCCGCGUGCGGGAUGACGGCCUUCGGGUUGUAAACCGCUUUCGCCUGUGACGAAGCGUGAGUGACGGUAAUGGGUAAAGAAGCACCGGCUAACUACGUG